UACAGAGGUCUCAAGCGUUGUUCGGAUUCAUUGGGCGUAAAGGGUGCGUAGGCGGCGGGGCAAGUCUGAUGUGAAAUCCCGGGGCUCAACCCCGGAACUGCGUCCGAUACUGGAAGGCUUGAAUCCGGGAGAGGGAUGCGGAAUUCCAGGUGUAGCGGUGAAAUGCGUAGAUAUCUGGAGGAACACCGGUGGCGAAGGCGGCAUCCUGGACCAACACUGACACUGAGGAGCGAAAGCCAGGGAGCAA
rnacentral:rRNA from 1 species